rnacentral:rRNA from 1 species
AUUGAACGCUGGCGGCAUGCCUUACACAUGCAAGUCGAACGGUAACGCGGGGCAACCUGGCGACGAGUGGCGAACGGGUGAGUAAUGCAUCGGAACGUGCCCAGUAGUGGGGGAUAGCCCGGCGAAAGCCGGAUUAAUACCGCAUACGACCUACGGGUGAAAGCGGGGGACCGUAAGGCCUCGCGCUAUUGGAGCGGCCGAUGUCAGAUUAGGUUGUUGGUGGGGUAAAGGCCUACCAAGCCGACGAUCUGUAGCUGGUCUGAGAGGACGACCAGCCACACUGGGACUGAGACACGGCCCAGACUCCUACGGGAGGCAGCAGUGGGGAAUUUUGGACAAUGGGGGUAACCCUGAUCCAGCCAUGCCGCGUGCGGGAAGAAGGCCUUCGGGUUGUAAACCGCUUUUGUCAGGGAAGAAACGCUCUGGGCUAAUACCCCGGGGUAAUGACGGUACCUGAAGAAUAAGCACCGGCUAACUACGUGCCAGCCGCCGCGGUAACAC